UCCCAGACUCCUACGGGAGGCAGCAGUGGGGAAUAUUGCACAAUGGGGGAAACCCUGAUGCAGCGACGCCGCGUGAGCGAUGAAGUCUUUCGGUAUGUAAAGCUCUAUCAGCAGGGAAGAAGAUGACGGUACCUGACUAAGAAGCCCCGGCUAACUACGUGCCAGCAGCCGCGGUAAUACGUAGGGGGCAAGCGUUAUCCGGAUUUACUGGGUGUAAAGGGAGCGUAGAUGGCGACGCAAGUCUGGAGUGAAAGCCCGGGGCCCAACCCCGGGACUGCUCUGGAAACUGCGUCGCUGGAGUACGGGAGGGGCAGGCGGAAUUCCUGGUGUAGCGGUGAAAUGCGUAGAUAUCAGGAGGAACACCGGCGGCGAAGGCGGCCUGCUGGACCGUGACUGACGUUGAGGCUCGAGAGCGUGGGGAGCAGACAGGAUUAGAUACCCGGGUAGGA
rnacentral:rRNA from 1 species